rnacentral:rRNA from 1 species
UAUAUGGUGAAACUGCGCAAUGGCUCAUUAAAUCAGUUAUCGUUUAGGCAAGCACCUUACUACUUGGAUAACCGUGGUAAUUCUAGAGCUAAUACAUGCUAAAAACCUCGACUUUGGGAGAGGUGUAUUUAUUAGAUUAAAAACCAAUGCCCUCACGGGCUCACUGGUGAUCCAUGAUAACUUGUCGGAUCGCAUGGCCUUGUGCCGGCGAUGGUUCAUUCAAAUUUCUGCCCUAUCAACUUUCGAUGGCUGGGUCUUGGCCACCCAUGGUGACAACGGGUAACGGAGGGUUAGGGCUCGACCCCGGAGAGGGGGCCUGACAGAUGGCCACCACAUCCAAGGAAGGCAGCAGGCGCGCAAAUUACCCCAAAUGACGACACGUCGAAGGUAGUGACAAUACGUACUGAUACAGGGCUCUUUUGGGUCUUGUAAUUGGAAUGAGUACAAUUUAAAUCCCCUUAACGAGGAACAACUAGAGGGCAAGUCUGGUGCCCAAGCAGCCGCGGUAAUUUCCAGCUCUAGUAGCGUAUAUUAAAUGGUUGUUGAAGGUUAAAAAAGCUCGUAAGUUGAACCCUUGGGCCUGGCUGGGCCCGGUCCGCCUCACCGCGUGCACUGGUCCGGGUCCGGGCCUUUCCCUUUGGGGAGCCGCAUGCCCUUCAGUGGGUGCCUGUCGGGGAACCAGGACGUUUACUCUGAACAAAUCAGAUCGCUUCAAGAAGGCCUGUGCUCGAAUGUUCUAGCAUGGAAUAAUGGAAUAGGACGUGUGGUUCUAUUUUGUUGGUUUCUAGGACCGCCGUAAUGAUUAAUAGGGACAGUCGGGGGCAUCAGUAUUCAAUUGUCAGAGGUGAAAUUCUUGGAUUUAUUGAAGACUAACUACUGCGAAAGCAUUUGCCAAGGAUGUUUUCAUUAAUCAGGAACGAAAGUUAGGGGAUCGAAGACGAUCAGAUACCGUCGUAGUCUUAACCAUAAACUAUGCCGAUUAGGGUACUUCAAUGUUAUUUUUGACCCGUUCGGCACCUACGAAAAAUCAAAAUGU